rnacentral:misc_RNA from 1 species
GGAAGUAAAAGUCGCAACAAGGUCUCCGUUGGUGAACCAGCGGAGGGAUCAUUACAGAGUUGCAAAACUCCCAAACCAUUGUGAACGUUACCUAUCCCGUUGCUUCGGCGGGCGGCCCGGGCCCCGCGCCCGGCGCCCCCCGGCCCCCCGUGGGCGCCCGCCGGAGGUAAACCAAACCCUUGAAUUGCAUGGCCUCUCUGAGUCUUCUGUACUGAAUAAGUCAAAACUUACAACAACGGAUCUCUUGGUUCUG